rnacentral:rRNA from 1 species
UACGGGGGGGGCAAGCGUUGUUCGGAAUUACUGGGCGUAAAGGGCUCGUAGGCGGCCAACUAAGUCGGACGUGAAAUCCCUCGGCUUAACCGGGGAACUGCGUCCGAUACUGGAUGGCUUGAGUUCGGGAGAGGGAUGCGGAAUUCCAGGUGUAGCGGUGAAAUGCGUAGAUAUCUGGAGGAACACCGGUGGCGAAGGCGGCAUCCUGGACCAACACUGACACUGAAAAGCGAAAGCCAGGGGAGCAAACGGG